rnacentral:lncRNA from 1 species
UUGACGCCUUCGGCCUUUCCAAAGCGUACCAACCUCGCUCUUUGGUCAAUUUGACCAAGGUUCGAUACUUGGUUACUGAAAUUUCGGUAUAUUACAUACCCACUCGAUAACUAGCCGAUCCCGGACGAAGUCCAACUCUCGGCUCUCGAGAAUUCACUUCGUUACAACCAUACUGUACCAGUACACCCCUGGUGUUAAACUGGUAACACAUAUUCCAGGAUUUCGGUUUUGCAUCGCUUCGACACCAAUUCAUGCCGAGCAACGCUAAAACUAUUCUAACUCUUUUAGAACUCAAUUCUAACCCUUCCAACAAUAUUGGAAUGUCAAUUGGACUUUGUCCAACUACUUCUCUCGACGCACUUUGGUCAAUUUGACCAAAAGUGAUCUAACACGAUGAGGAUUCCUUUAAUUUCUCAAAGAUCAUGAGAGACGCCAAAACUCGUGUAGUUCCCAAUCUCCGCACGCCUCAAAUUGCCCAGGGACACCACUUGGCCCAUCCCGCGCCGAUCUAAAAGAAGAUCGCCUACGCGGUGCUAUCGCUUCCUAAAACGCGACAACUCUCCGAAUUUUCUGCUAAUUUAUCUGUCCCGUUUCCAACAGAAAAUUCUAGAUCUUCUGUUUUCAUUCCGAUUUCAGCACAAGUCACUUCUGACUUAUAUUUUACUCCUACAAAUCCAAUAAAAAUAGUUUCUCACACUAUUUUUAUUUAUUUUUAUUUUUAUACUAAAAUCUGGUAUGUUACAUUCUCCACCCCUUAAAAGAAUUUCGUCCGCGAAAUUCAAACAACACCUCAAUUCAGCUCCUCGAGCAAUUGAGGGUACUAACUCAUUCUUCCACUCCAGAGCGGCUCCACACCAUCGUGUUUGAGAAGCGGCUCAUUCUAAGGGACAUGGGUUUGAUAUUAAACACAUUUGCAAAAGGUGAUACAAAAGUGCAUCACGGGUCUUGCAAGUCAUAGUGGCUGCGCAAGUCGGUGCUCGACGACUCUACACGCUCCAACACCACUCACCAUUCGAUACACAAAGAACUCUUCUUUGCACUUACCUUCCCUUCAGGGAAUACAUUCUGAUUCGAUCACCGACAUUGCUUAGGAGCAAUGUCACCGAUGCAUCGCUCCGUUAUGAGUGCUCUAAUUUCGCACUGACCAUUAACUUUAACGUGAGAUGGCCCACUUCGGCACCUCUCAAGUCUUAGUUCGCUUACGAGCAUAAUCUCCAACAUCACGUGGCUUUCCACUCGUUUGAUGUCUCACAAUGAGUACUUCAUCAUCUGAUAUCACAUGCCACGAUUAACAUCAAACUAUUUUUGCAAUGAGCUCACACGAGCGCUUCGUUCGUGAAUUCGAGUCAAACCCCUCGAUAAGGUUAUCUGCCAAAUCGCUCUCUUCAGUCUCCACAGGUGGACCAAAGGCCACCAAUCCUACGUAGGCCUACGUCUAAACCUAUCUCAAUACGCAGCGUCUCUCGCUCGCAAAUGCAGACCCAAUCAUGAUCGGGCGAAAUUCUCACUUGGGAAUUUGCACACACUCCAACCAGGAGCAACUAAGACCCCAAACCACGUCAAGUCCUUGGGUUGGGUCACAACCAUACUUGGUGUACCAUCGGUCACACAAUCUAUCACGUGGCAUUCCACGCUCCCGGGUCUAAGCUUGGACUACCGUCCUGACCAGAACUCUGCCCUACCCGUAAGUACCGGGCCGCUGUCACUCACAGCUGACUACGCCUGCCCAAAGGGCCCAGGCUCCGCAGUCCACUAAUGGUCCAGGCACGGGUCGUCCCCAAGCACUACCCGCCGUCGUCGUCCUACACGACAUACUCUACCGAGUCACACGUACCAAUAUCGGCUCCUAUGCACCUAGUGCGAGUCACCAGUCCCACGAGUGAUCCAUGGCACGCUUCACACCUAGCAAUGCUCAAGUGCUACUGCCAAUACACUCUCUCGGCUGAAUCCACAUCCGCACUCUACGGGUAUCUACACUCGAGCGCUCUACGCCUCUACAGCGUUCCACACGAAGUCCAGCAUUAGGCAAUCUUGCCUAUGCACACCGGCCGCACGAGCACAACCGCCUACCUCACCUUGAGGUACUACUAGGCCCACGUGCUCAAACUUGGCCACUAAUCGACCGUUCUCUCAACAGUGAUGCUACUUUCACUGUUCGAUCUACCGGAAUGACAUCCGAAAUUUUCGGACCACUCGGGUGUUCUCAUAAGCAUCAUGGCUCAACUCUCGCAAUUUACUACUCAUAUUGCUCUGAGAGUCAUUUCGCCACUUCUAUCUCUACCGCGAGUCUCACUUCUCGCCAUAGAUUACUUCUAGCACUUCGCUAGUGCCAUCUGGCUCUAUACCUGUACUGGCAGGUACUACGCCCUCACAUAAUACAAAACUCCAUUUCUAGAGCAAUCAAAUCUAUCUCUAGAAAUCCACCAUGAGAGAGAGCUUAGAAGCUUACCUCUCCAAGAAGCUCCAACCAAGGAGAAGAUGAAGAAGAUGAGGAAGACCUCCUUCUCCUUCUCUUUCUUUCCUUUCCUUUCUUCUUCCUCUUCUUGUCUUCUAGAGAGAGAAAGAGAGAUAUGAGAGGGUGUGUGGGUGAGAAAUAAGAGAAAAGAGCUCUCAUACCCCUCACAUAGCCCCACAUGUUGCAUAAGUGCAAACAAGCCCCUCAACUUUUAUUCUUUUACAUUGCCCUCACUGGGCCACUUUCGGGUUCGGGGACCGGUCUCCCCGACGAGGGACCGGUCUCCGAGAGCUUCUCCCCGCAGUCAGCAGAGCUCACACCCGAUGCAACCGGUCUUUCUUUGGGGGACCGGUCUCUCAGGGACCGGUCUCUCCAGCAGGGACCGGUCUCCGAGAGCUGUCCACCAAGGACUUAGCCGAUUUUUCUCUCCUCUUGCUGCCUGCGCGUUCGGGGACCGGUCUCUCCCCACAGGGACCGGUCUCCGAGAACAGAAAACCUGCAGUUUGCAGAUUUUCAUUUCCAAGGCUCUCGAAGAUCCCCAGUAAUGCACUUUUGCAUUAUUUGACGCCUUCGGCCUUUCCAAAGCGUACCAACCUCGCUCUUUGGUCAAUUUGACCAAGGUUCGAUACUUGGUUACCGAAAUUUCGGUAUAUUACAUACCCACUCGACAACUAGUCGAUCCUGGACGAAGUCCAACCCUCGGCUUUCGAGAAUUCACUUCGUUACAACCAUGCUGUACCGGUACACCCCUGGUGUUAAACCGGUAACACAUGUUCCAGAAUUUCGAUUUUGCAUCGCUUCGACUCCGAUUCGUGCCGAGCAACGCCAAAACCCUUCUAACUCUUUUAGAACUCAAUUCCAACCCUUCCAACAUUGUUGGAAUGUAAAUUGGAUUUUGUCCAACUACUUCUCUCGACGCACUUUGGCCAACUUGACCAAAAGUGAUCUAACACGAUAAGGAUUCCGUUAAUUUCUCAAAGGUCACAAGGGCCGCCAAAACUCGCGAAGUUCCAAGUCUCCGCUCGCCUCAAAUUGCCCAGGGACACCACUUGGCCCAUCCCGCGCCGAUCUAAAAGAAGAUCGCCUACGCGGUGCUAUCGCUUCCUAAAACGCGACAACUCUAUUAAUCCUCGACCUUCUAGGUCGAACACGAAACACUUAAUACCGACUCAAAUCGGGCGAAAGUCACGCAAAGGCGUCUACUCUCAUCACUCGGCUUCAUGUUGUGUGCACCCAACAUGAACACCCUCUGUUGAGAAUAAACCUCACCUUGAGUCUACCUCUAACAUCCGUUUUAGAGGUUUAUGACAUAACCCAAUCAAUUAACCUUUCGCCAAAAGAAACAACUUCUCGUCUCUCACGAGCCUUAAUCUCCUAUGGUUCACUAUCCUAGGGUCUCCUAGGUCCAAUUAAACCAUUUUCUAUUAUUCUUUUUAUGUUCCUUUUAUGCUCUGAUACCAUCUUAUCUGUCACGCCCCGCGACCGCCCGCCUAUUUGGCCGGGUCGCGGCACCGCCAACAGAUCGCCGAACGGACAGGGUUUCCCCUAUACUGCGGACAGAGUCUCCCCUGUAC